UGAGGAAUAUUGGGCAAUGCCCGAAAGGGUGACCCAGCGACGCCGCGUGGAGGAUGAAGGUCGUAAGAUUGUAAACUCCUGUUAGAGGGGAAGAAUAACUAAGUUUGGAGCUUAGUAUGACUGUACCCUCAGAGAAAGCCCCGGCUAACUACGUGCCAGCAGCCGCGGUAAUACGUAGGGGGCAAGCGUUGUCCGGAUUUACUGGGUGUAAAGGGCGCGCAGGCGGAAUGGAAAGUCAGUGGUGAAAUCCUACAGCUUAACUGUAGAACUGCCUUUGAUACUUUCAUUCUUGAGUUCGGGAGAGAGAGACGGAAUUCCAGGUGUAGUGGUGAAAUACGUAGAUAUCUGGAAGAACACCAGUUGCGAAGGCGGUCUCUUGGUCCGAUACUGACGCUGAGGCGCGAAAGCGUGGGGAGCAAACA
rnacentral:rRNA from 1 species